GCAUGUCUAAGUAUAAGCAAUUAUACAGCGAAACUGCGAAUGGCUCAUUAUAUAAGUUAUCGUUUAUUUGAUAGUACCUUACUACUUGGAUAACCGUGGUAAUUCUAGAGCUAAUACAUGCUAAAAAUCCCGACUUCGGAAGGGAUGUAUUUAUUAGAUUAAAAACCAAUGCCCUCUGGGCUCUCUGGUGAUUCAUGAUAACUUCUCGAAUCGCAUGGCCUUGCGCCGGCGAUGGUUCAUUCAAAUUUCUUCCCUAUCAACUUUCGAUGUUUGGGUAUUGGCCAAACAUGGUUGCAACGGGUAACGGAGGGUUAGGGCUCGACCCCGGAGAAGGAGCCUGAGAAACGGCUACUACAUCCAAGGAAGGCAGCAGGCGCGCAAAUUACCCAAUUCCGACACGGAGAGGUAGUGACAAUAAAUACUGAUACAGGGCUCUUUUGGGUCUUGUAAUCGGAAUGAGUACAAUUUAAAUCCCUUAACGAGGAACAAUUGGAGGGCAAGUUUGGUGCCAGCAGCCGCGGUAAUUCCAGCUCCAAUAGCGUAUAUUAAAGUUGUUGUGGUUAAAAAGCUCGUAGUUGAACCUUGGGCCUGGCUGGCCGGUCCGCCUCACCGCGUGUACUGGUCCGGCCGGGCCUUUCCCUCUGUGGAACCUCAUGCCCUUCACUGGGUGUGGCGGGGAAACAGGACUUUUACUUUGAAAAAAUUAGAGUGCUCUAGGCAGGCCUAUGCUCGAAUACAUUAGCAUGGAAUAAUAGAAUAGGACGUGCGGUUCUAUUUUGUUGGUUUCUAGGACCGCCGUAAUGAUUAAUAGGGACAGUCGGG
rnacentral:rRNA from 1 species